GUUGAACGCUGGCGGCAGGCCUAACACAUGCAAGUCGAGCGGUAGCACAGAGAGCUUGCUCUCGGGUGACGAGCGGCGGACGGGUGAGUAAUGUCUGGGAAACUGCCUGACGGAGGGGGAUAACUACUGGAAACGGUAGCUAAUACCGCAUAAUGUCGCAAGACCAAAGUGGGGGACCUUCGGGCCUCAUGCCAUCAGAUGUGCCCAGAUGGGAUUAGCUAGUAGGUGGGGUAACGGCUCACCUAGGCGACGAUCCCUAGCUGAUCUGAGAGGAUGACCAGCCACACUGGAACUGAGACACGGUCCAGACUCCUACGGGAGGCAGCAGUGGGGAAUAUUGCACAAUGGGCGCAAGCCUGAUGCAGCCAUGCCGCGUGUGUGAAGAAGGCCUUCGGGUUGUAAAGCACUUUCAGCGGGGAGGAAGGCGUUAAGGUUAAUAGCCUUGGCGAUUGACGUUACCCGCAGAAGAAGCACCGGCUAACUCCGUGCCAGCCGCCGCAGUAA
rnacentral:rRNA from 1 species